AAAAAUAUUAGUUAGUUUAAAUUAAAUGUUAGCUAAUUUUUUAUGAUUUGUUAUGAUUAAUAGUUAUGGAAAAUACAUUGUUUUACAUUGGAUCCCUCUCACUCCUCUCACGGCAUUCCCUCACCUUUCACUCACAAGAGACAAAAAAUAAUGAUAAAAAAAAUAACAAAAAAAGAAAAUCUCUCUAACGGAUUCACUCCUCUCCCACUACCUCACACAAUCUCUCCACUCACUCACCACACUCCACGCUCUCACUCUCAGCAUAAAGGCAAAUUCCC
rnacentral:lncRNA from 1 species